CCUACGGGCGGCAGCAGUGAGGAAUAUUGGUCAAUGGGCGAGAGCCUGAACCAGCCAAGUCGCGUGAGGGAGUACUGCCCUAUGGGUUGUAAACCACUUUUGUCGGGGAGCAAAAGCCGGACGUGUCCGGCUGUGAGAGUACCCGAAGAAAAAGCAUCGGCUAACUCCGUGCCAGCAGCCGCGGUAAUACGGAGGAUGCGAGCGUUAUCCGGUGUUAUUGGGUUUAAAGGGUGCGCAGGCGGAUUUUUAAGUCAGCGGUAAAAUCGUGGGGCUCAACCCCAUCCAGCCGUUGAAACUGGGGAUCUAGAGUGUGCGAGAGGUAUGCGGAAUGCGUGGUGUAGCGGUGAAAUGCAUAGAUAUCACGCAGAACCCCGAUUGCGAAGGCAGCAUACCGGUGCACAACUGACGCUCAGGCACGAAAGCGUGGGUAUCGAACAGGAUUAGAUACCCCUGUAGUC
rnacentral:rRNA from 1 species